rnacentral:rRNA from 1 species
UACAUAGACCUCAAGCGUUAUCCGGAUUUACUGGGCGUAAAGCGUGCGUAGACGGUUAUUUAAGUCAGGUGUGAAAGCCCCGGGCUCAACCUGGGAAUUGCAUUUGAGACUGAAUAGCUAGGGUGCGGAAGAGGGAAGCGGAAUUUCCGGUGUAGCGGUGAAAUGCGUAGAUAUCGGAAGGAACACCAGUGGCGAAAGCGGCUUCCUGGUCCAGCACCGACGUUCAGGCACGAAAGCGUGGGGAGCAAACAGG